CCAAUAGCGUAUAUUAAAGUUGUUGCAGUUAAAAAGCUCGUAGUUGAAUUUCAGGCCUGGCUGGACGGUCCGCCUUUUGGGUGAGUACUGUCUGUGGUCGGGUCCUACCUUCUGGCGAAGCGUCAUGGCCUUAACCGGCCGUGGCGGGGAACCAGGACUUUUACUGUGAACAAAUUAGAGUGUUCAAAGCAGGCAGUCGCUUGAAUACAUUAGCAUGGAAUAAUGGAAUAGGACAAUGGUUCUAUUUGUUGGUUUCUAGGACCGUUGUAAUGAUUAAUAGGGAAUAGUUGGGGGCAUUAGUAUUCAAUUGUCAGAGGUGAAAUUCUUGGAUUUAUUGAAGACUAACUACUGCGAAAGCAUUUGCCAAGGAUGUUUUCAUUAAUCACGAACGAAAGUUAGGGGAUCGAAGACGAUCAGAUGCCGUCGUAGUCUUAACCAUAAACUAUGCCGACUAGGAAUCGGGCGAUGUUGACAAAAUGACGCGCUCGGCACCUCAUG
rnacentral:rRNA from 1 species